rnacentral:rRNA from 1 species
GAUUAACGCUGGCGGCGUGCCUAACACAUGCAAGUCGAGCGGCAGCGAGUUUUACACUGAAUUCUGGAAGCUUCUAGUUGAAAGAGAAGAUUUAUUCAAGAAUUUUGUGUAAAAUGUCGGCGAGCGGCGGACGGCUGAGUAACGCGUGGGAACGUACCCCAAAGUGAGGGAUAACGCAUCGAAAGGUGUGCUAAUACCGCAUAUGGUCUUCGGAUUAAGGCCUUCGGGCGCUUUGGGAACGGCCUGCGUAAGAUUAGAUAGUUGGUGGGGUAAUGGCCUACCAAGUCGACGAUCUUUAACUGGUUUGAGAGGAUGAUCAGUCAGACUGGAACUGAGACACGGUCCAGACUCCUACGGGAGGCAGCAGUGAGGAAUCUUCCACAAUGGGCGAAAGCCUGAUGGAGCAACGCCGCGUGCAGGAUGAAGGCCUUCGGGUUGUAAACUGCUUUUAUAAGUGAGGAUUAUGACAGUAACUUAUGAAUAAGGAUCGGCUAACUACGUG